GACGAACGCUGGCGGCGUGCUUAACACAUGCAAGUCGAACGGUAAGGCCCUUCGGGGUACACGAGUGGCGAACGGGUGAGUAACACGUGGGUGAUCUGCCCUGCACUUCGGGAUAAGCCUGGGAAACUGGGUCUAAUACCGGAUAGGACCACUGCCUGCAUGGGUGGGGGUGGAAAGCUUUUGCGGUGUGGGAUGGGCCCGCGGCGUAUCAGCUUGUUGGUGGGGUGAUGGCCUACCAAGGCGAGGACGGGUAGCCGGCCUGAGUUGGUGACCGGCCACACUGGGCCGGCGCUAGGGGCCAUACUCCUACGGGAGGAAGGAGUGGGGUAUAUGGCACAAUGGGCGCAAGGAUGAUGCGGCGCCGCCGCGUGAGCGCUGACGGCCUUCGGGUCGGAACCCUCUUUCAGCAACGACGAAGCGCGAGUGACGGUGGGUGCAGAAGAAGGACCGGCCAACUACGGGCCAGCAGCCGGCGUAA
rnacentral:rRNA from 1 species